UACGUAGGGGGCAAGCGUUGUCCGGAAUUAUUGGGCGUAAAGCGCGCGCAGGCGGUCAUUUAAGUUUGGUGUUUAAUUCCAGGGCUCAACCCUGGGUCGCACUGAAAACUGGGUGACUUGAGUACAGAAGAGGUGAGUGGAAUUCCACGUGUAGCGGUGAAAUGCGUAGAUAUGUGGAGGAACACCAGUGGCGAAGGCGACUCUCUGGGCUGUAACUGACGCUGAGGCGCGAAAGCGUGGGUAGCAAACAGG
rnacentral:rRNA from 1 species